UGGGGAAAUGUGAUCUGAGUGUCCCA
rnacentral:piRNA from 1 species